rnacentral:tRNA from 1 species
GCUUCCAUAACUUAGUUGGUUAGAGCACCCGUUUAGUAAGUGGGAUGUCUUGAGUUUGAAUCCCAAUGAAAGCA